rnacentral:rRNA from 1 species
AAACGAACGCUGGCGGCGUGCUUAACACAUGCAAGUCGAACGCGAAAGUUUUCUUCGGGAAACGAGUAGAGUGGCGCACGGGUGAGUAACGCGUAGAUAACCUGUCUUCAUGUUUGGGAUAACCCACCGAAAGGUGGACUAAUACCGGAUGUGCUUACUUUUCAUAAGUUUUGUAAGUAAAGGUGGCCUCUGAUAUAAGCUAUCGCAUGUAGAGGGGUCUGCGUACCAUUAGCUAGUAGGUGGGGUAAUGGCCUACCUAGGCAACGAUGGUUAGCGGGUCUGAGAGGAUGAUCCGUCACACUGGCACUGAAACACGGGCCAGACUCCUACGGGAGGCAGCAGUGAGGAAUAUUGCGCAAUGGGGGGAACCCUGACGCAGCGACGCCGCGUGAGUGAGGAAGGCCUUCGGGUCGUAAAGCUCUGUCAAGAGGGAAGAAAUGCAUAGAAGUUAAUACCUUUUAUGUUUGACGGUACCUCUAAAGGAAGCACCGGCUAACUCCGUGCCAGCAGCCGCGGUAAUACGGAGGGUGCGAGCGUUGUUCGGAAUUACUGGGCGUAAAGGGCGCGCAGGCGGCUUGGUAAGUCAGAUGUGAAAGCCCACGGCUCAACCGUGGAAGUGCAUUUGAAACUGCCAGACUUGAGUAUCAGAGGGGAAAGUGGAAUUCCUGGUGUAGAGGUGAAAUUCGUAGAUAUCAGGAGGAAUACCGGUGGCGAAGGCGACUUUCUGGCUGAAUACUGACGCUGAGGCGCGAAAGCGUGGGGAGCAAACAGGAUUAGAUACCCUGGUAGUCCACGCCGUAAACGAUGUGAACUAGGUGUAGGAGGUGUUGAUCCCUUCUGUGCCGCAGCUAACGCAUUAAGUUCACCGCCUGGGGAGUACGGUCGCAAGAUUAAAACUCAAAGAAAUUGACGGGGGCCCGCACAAGCGGUGGAGUAUGUGGUUUAAUUCGAUGCAACGCGAAGAACCUUACCUGGUCUUGACAUCCCGAGAAUUUCCUGGAAACAGGAAAGUGCCUUCUUUUGAAGGAACUUGGUGACAGGUGCUGCAUGGCUGUCGUCAGCUCGUGUCGUGAGAUGUUGGGUUAAGUCCCGCAACGAGCGCAACCCUUGCCUUUAGUUGCCAUCAGUUCGGCUGGGCACUCUAAAGGGACUGCCGGUGUCAAACCGGAGGAAGGUGGGGAUGACGUCAAGUCCUCAUGGCCUUUAUGACCAGGGCUACACACGUACUACAAUGGCCGGUACAAAGGGCAGCGACACUGCGAAGUGAAGCGAAUCCCAUAAAGCCGGUCUCAGUCCGGAUUGGAGUCUGCAACUCGACUCCAUGAAGUCGGAAUCGCUAGUAAUCGUGGAUCAGCAUGCCACGGUGAAUACGUUCCCGGGCCU